rnacentral:rRNA from 1 species
AGAGUUGAUCAUGGCUCAGGACGAACGCUGGCGGCGUGCCUAACACAUGCAAGUCGAGCGAUGAAGUUCUUCGGAACGGAUUAGCGGCGGACGGGUGAGUAACACGUGGGUAACCUGCCUUGUAGAGGGGGAUAGCCUUCCGAAAGGAAGAUUAAUACCGCAUAAUAUCUUUUUUAUCGCAUGGUAGAAAGAUCAAAGGAGCAAUCCGCUACAAGAUGGACCCGCGGCGCAUUAGCUAGUUGGUGAGGUAACGGCUCACCAAGGCGACGAUGCGUAGCCGACCUGAGAGGGUGAUCGGCCACAUUGGAACUGAGACACGGUCCAGACUCCUACGGGAGGCAGCAGUGGGGAAUAUUGCGCAAUGGGGGGAAACCCUGACGCAGCAACGCCGCGUGAAUGAAGAAGGCCUUAGGGUUGUAAAGUUCUGUUUACGGGGACGAUAAUGACGGUACCCGUGGAGGAAGCCACGGCUAACUACGUGCCAGCCGCCGC